UACGUAGGGUGCGAGCGUUGUCCGGAAUUAUUGGGCGUAAAGAGCUUGUAGGCGGUUUGUCGCGUCUGCCGUGAAAAUUCGAGGCUCAACCUCGAACUUGCGGUGGGUACGGGCAGACUAGAGUGAUGUAGGGGAGACUGGAAUUCCUGGUGUAGCGGUGAAAUGCGCAGAUAUCAGGAGGAACACCGAUGGCGAAGGCAGGUCUCUGGGCAGUAACUGACGCUGAGGAGCGAAAGCGUGGGGAGCGAACAGG
rnacentral:rRNA from 1 species